rnacentral:rRNA from 1 species
AUUGAACGCUGGCGGCAGGCCUAACACAUGCAAGUCGAACGAGUGGCGGACGGGUGAGUAAUGUCUGGGAAACUGCCUGAUGGAGGGGGAUAACUACUGGAAACGGUAGCUAAUACCGCAUACCAUCAGAUGUGCCCAGAUGGGAUUAGCUUGUUGGUGGGGUAACGGCUCACCAAGGCGACGAUCCCUAGCUGGUCUGAGAGGAUGACCGGCCACACGGGAACGGAGACACGGCCAAGAUCCCUAGGGGAGGCAGAAGGGGGGAUAUUGGAACAAGGGGCGAAAGCUUGUGGAAGCCAGGCGGGGUGUAGGAAGAAGGCCUUCGGGUUGUAAAGUAUUUUAAGCGGGGAGGCGUUACCGGAAGAAGAAGCACCGGCUAACCCCGUGCCAGACGCCGCGUUAAUC